UACGUAGGUGGCAAGCGUUGUCCGGAUUUACUGGGCGUAAAGGAUGCGUAGGCGGACAUUUAAGUCAGAUGUGAAAUACCCGAGCUUAACUUGGGUGCUGCAUUUGAAACUGGGUGUCUAGAGUGCAGGAGAGGUAAGUGGAAUUCCUAGUGUAGCGGUGAAAUGCGUAGAGAUCAGGAAGAACACCAGUGGCGAAGGCGACUUACUGGACUGUAACUGACGCUGAGGCAUGAAAGCGUGGGGAGCAAACAGG
rnacentral:rRNA from 1 species